CUCGGAAUUACUGGGCGUAAAGCGUGCGUAGGUGGUUUGUUAAGUCUGUUGUGAAAGCCCCGGGCUCAACCUGGGAAUGGCAAUGGAUACUGGCAAGCUAGAGUGCGGUAGAGGGUAGUGGAAUUCCCGGUGUAGCGGUGAAAUGCGUAGAGAUCGGGAGGAACACCAGUGGCGAAGGCGGCUACCUGGACCAGCACUGACACUGAGGCACGAAAGCGUGGGGAGCAAACAGG
rnacentral:rRNA from 1 species